rnacentral:rRNA from 1 species
AGAGUUUGAUCAUGGCUCAGGAUGAACGCUGGCGGCGUGCUUAACACAUGCAAGUCGAACGGAAAGGCCUGUACUUGUACAGGUACUCGAGUGGCGAACGGGUGAGUAACACGUGGGUGAUCUGCCCUGCACUAUGGGAUAAGCUUGGGAAACUGGGUCUAAUACCAUAUAGGACCACUUCUUGGAUGUUGUGGUGGAAAGCUUUUGCGGUGUGGGAUGAGCCUGCGGCCUAUCAGCUUGUUGGUGGGGUAAUGGCCUACCAAGGCGGCGACGGGUAUCCGGCCUGAGAGGGUGUACGGACACAUUGGGACUGAGAUACGGCCCAGACUCCUACGGGAGGCAGCAGUGGGGAAUAUUGCACAAUGGGCGCAAGCCUGAUGCAGCGACGCCGCGUGGGGGAUGACGGCCUUCGGGUUGUAAACUCCUUUCGCUAUCGACGAAGCCACUUGUGGUGACGGUAGGUAGAUAAGAAGCACCGGCUAACUACGUGCCAGCAGCCGCGGUAAUACGUAGGGUGCAAGCGUUGUCCGGAAUUACUGGGCGUAAAGAGCUCGUAGGUGGUUUGUCGCGUCGUCUGUGAAAUCCCGGGGCUUAACUUCGGGCGUGCAGGCGAUACGGGCAUAACUUGAGUGCUGUAGGGGAGACUGGAAUUCCUGGUGUAGCGGUGAAAUGCGCAGAUAUCA